rnacentral:snoRNA from 15 species
UAUCUGUGAUGAUCCUAUCCCGAACCUGAAUUUCUGUUGAAAAAAGUUAUACGGAUCUGGCUUCUGAGAU